rnacentral:rRNA from 1 species
AGCAACGCCGCGUGUGGGAAGAAGGCCUUCGGGUCGUAAACCACUUUUGCACGGGACGAAAAAGGAUAUCGAACAAAUAUCCCCGUAUGACGGUACCGUGAGAAUAAGCCACGGCUAACUCUGUGCCAGCAGCCGCGGUAAGACAGAGGUGGCAAGCGUUGUUCGGAAUUACUGGGCGUAAAGAGUCUGUAGGUGGUUUGUCAAGUCUUUGGUGAAAGGCCGUAGCUUAACUAUGGGAAUGCCAAAGAGACUGGCAGGCUGGAGGCUGGGAGAGGGAAGCGGAAUUUCUGGUGUAGCGGUGAAAUGCGUAGAUAUCAGAAGGAAGGCCGGUGGCGAAGGCGGCUUCCUGGAACAGUCCUGACACUGAGAGACGAAAGCGUGGGGAGCAAACA